UGGGGAACAUUGCACAAUGGGCGAAAGCCUGAUGCAGCGACGCCGCGUGAGGGAUGACGGCCUUCGGGUUGUAAACCUCUUUCAGCAGGGAAGAAGCGAAAGUGACGGUACCUGCAGAAGAAGCGCCGGCUAACUACGUGCCAGCAGCCGCGGUAAUACGUAGGGCGCAAGCGUUGUCCGGAAUUAUUGGGCGUAAAGAGCUCGUAGGCGGUUAGUCGCGUCUGCUGUGAAAACUCGAGGCUCAACCUCGGGCUUGCAGUGGGUACGGGCUGACUAGAGUGCGGUAGGGGUGACUGGAAUUCCUGGUGUAGCGGUGGAAUGCGCAGAUAUCAGGAGGAACACCGAUGGCGAAGGCAGGUCACUGGGCCGCAACUGACGCUGAGGAGCGAAAGCAUGGGGAGCGAACAGGAUUAGAUAGCCCUGGUAGUCCAUGCCGUAAACGUUGGGCACUAGGUGUGGGGUCCA
rnacentral:rRNA from 1 species